rnacentral:rRNA from 1 species
GACGAACGCUGGCGGCGUGCUUAACACAUGCAAGUCGAACGGAAAGGCCCUGCUUUUGUGGGGUGCUCGAGUGGCGAACGGGUGAGUAACACGUGAGUAACCUGCCCUUGACUUUGGGAUAACUUCAGGAAACUGGGGCUAAUACCGGAUAGGAGCUCCUGCUGCAUGGUGGGGGUUGGAAAGUUUCGGCGGUUGGGGAUGGACUCGCGGCUUAUUAGCUUGUUGGUGGGGUAGUGGCUUACCAAGGCUUUGACGGGUAGCUGGCCUGAGAGGGUGACCGGCCACAUUGGGACUGAGAUACGGCCCAGACUCCUACGGGAGGCAGCAGUGGGGAAUAUUGCACAAUGGGCGGAAGCCUGAUGCAGCAACGCCGCGUGCGGGAUGACGGCCUUCGGGUUGUAAACCGCUUUCGCCUGUGACGAAGCGUGAAUGACGGUAAUGGGUAAAGAAGCACCGGCUAACUACGUG